rnacentral:rRNA from 1 species
UACGAAGGGGGCUAGCGUUGCUCGGAAUGACUGGGCGUAAAGGGCGCGUAGGCGGCUUGCACCGUCAGAUGUGAAAUUCCUGGGCUUAACCUGGGGGCUGCAUUUGAUACGUGUGGGCUUGAGUGCGGAAGAGGGUCGUGGAAUUCCCAGUGUAGAGGUGAAAUUCGUAGAUAUUGGGAGGAACACCAGUGGCGAAGGCGGCUACCUGGACCGGUUCUGACGCUGAUGCGCGAAAGCGUGGGUAGCAAACAGG